UAUGGUAAUUGUGUGCCAGCCUCCGCUUUACUACGUAGGUGGCAAGCGUUAUCCGGAUUUACUGGGUGUAAAGGGAGCGUAGACGGAUGGACAAGUCUGAUGUGAAAGGCUGGGGCUCAACCCCGGGACUGCAUUGGAAACUGCCCGUCUUGAGUGCCGGAGAGGUAAGCGGAAUUCCUAGUGUAGCGGUGAAAUGCGUAGAUAUUAGGAGGAACACCAGUGGCGAAGGCGGCUUACUGGACGGUAACUGACGUUGAGGCUCGAAAGCGUGGGGAGCAAACAGG
rnacentral:rRNA from 1 species